AUUGAACGCUGGCGGAAUGCUUUACACAUGCAAGUCGAACGGCAGCACGGACUUCGGUCUGGUGGCGAGUGGCGAACGGGUGAGUAAUGUAUCGGAACGUGCCCAGUCGUGGGGGAUAACGUAGUGAAAAUUACGCUAAUACCGCAUACGAUCUAUGGAUGAAAGCGGGGGAUCGCAAGACCUCGCGCGAUUGGAGCGGCCGAUAUCAGAUUAGGUAGUUGGUGGGGUAAAGGCCCACCAAGCCAACGAUCUGUAGCUGGUCUGAGAGGACGAACAGCCAAGCUGGAACUGAGACACGGUCCAGAAUCCUACGGGAGGAAGCAUUGGGGAAUUUUGGACAAUGGGCGAAAGCCUGAUCCAGCCAUUCCGCGUGCAGGAUGAAGGCCCUCGGGUUGUAAACUGCUUUUGUACAGAACGAAAAGGUUUCUACUAAUACUAGGGGCUCAUGACGGUACUGUAAGAAUAAGCACCGGCUAACUACGUGCCAGCCGCCGCCGUAA
rnacentral:rRNA from 1 species